UAACUCUUAGAAUUUCAUUUUGCAGCUGGUGGAAAAAGUAAACUUCGUCUGAUCUGCUCUCCUGGAUGCAAUACAUGCACUGUGUGCACUACCACUGUUUCUGGAAGGAGGGUGCCCAUGCUGUUCUGCUUUAAGCUGUAAACACCAAUUCUUCUGAGAAGUCCGACACUUUGUGCAAAAUAUGAAUCACUGCAGAAUUAUUGCAUCAUCAUAAAAGUGACCAGUGCUCUUUGGAAUCCAUGAGCUAAUCAAAUAAGAAAGGAAAUUACAUAUGCAACAUUUGGGAGUUUUAAAUUGGAGCUACUCAUAGGAAAACCCCAUUCCAUACUGAGAUUGUUUAUAAAGAAUUAUGGGAAAUGACAACAAAAGAAUCAAAGUUCGAUUUUUCAUAGAUGAAACUACAGAAUGCAUGGAGUACUGUAAUCCUGUCAGACAAGACAAGAAUUCAAGCAAUUUGUUGUCAUGAGAGGUGGCAGCAAGGGGAGCUGUAUGUCCAUCUAAUGCAACAACAGAGCCUCCAAUAGGAAUUUCCAUCUGCUUUUCAUCAUGAAUUUGCCUACAUGUAAUUACUAUGCUUACUGAUGCUUAAUUAAAGGUGAAUAAAAACGUGUUUGCAACUGAAUGUUUUCUAAGACCUCCAUCACUAUAAGGACGUGUGAAUAUGCUUGGAGUUUACAAAAACUUUGUUUUAAAGUAAGUCUUCUGAAAAUCCAUUCAUUUUCCUGAACU